rnacentral:rRNA from 1 species
UACGUAGGGGGCGAGCGUUGUCCGGAUUUAUUGGGCGUAAAGAGCUCGUAGGCGGUUUGGUAAGUCGGGUGUGAAAUCUCCACGCUCAACGUGGAGGGGCCACUCGAUACUGCCAUGACUCGAGUCCGGUAGAGGAGUGUGGAAUUCCCAGUGUAGCGGUGGAAUGCGCAGAUAUCAGGAGGAACACCGGUGGCGAAGGCGGCCUUCUGGACAGUGACUGACGCUGAGACGCGAAAGCGUGGGGAGCAAACAGG